rnacentral:misc_RNA from 1 species
GAUGAAGAACGUAGCGAAAUGCGAUAAGUAGUGUGAAUUGCAGAAUUUAGUGAAUCAUCGAAUCUUUGAACGCACAUUGCGCCCUUUGGUAUUCCUUAGGGCAUGCCUGUUCGAGCGUCAUCUACACCCUCAAGCACAGCUUGGUGAUGGGCGCCUGUCCCGCCCCCCACGGGGGCGCGGACUCGCCUCAAAUGCAUUGGCGGCCGGCGACCUGGCUUCGAGCGCAGCAGAAACGCGUACUCGGGGACCGGGCGCCCGCUCCCAGAAGCCAACCCACCCAGUUUGACCUCGGAUCAGGUGGGGAUACCCGCUGAACUUAAGCAUAUCAAUAAGCGGAGGA